UGCAGUUUGUGUGGUGAAGGUGCUCCCACAAUGUGGUUGGAUUCCACCAUCUGCCGAGCUGGGAUGCGAGCAAGAACUUCAGUUGUACAUUUUAAUAUUCUGGAUAAAAGUUAAAUAUAUUAGGAUACUGCAGGUGGACAUUCAGAUGGUAAUCUCAGUCAUUGUAACACCUAACUCUGAUUGAAUUACUCAAUUCAUCAGGACUUGGAUAUUCUCAUUGUGUGGUUCUGAAAGGGCGGAUUUGUGGAUGAGAAAUUCAAAUUGAACUUCCUGUUCCGUUUUGAUGGUUACUUGAUCCGUGCCGAUCUGAAUAUCAUUGGCCUUUUCAUGUGGAAGGAAA